rnacentral:rRNA from 1 species
UAGGGAAUCUUCCGCAAUGGGCGAAAGCCUGACGGAGCAACGCCGCGUGAGUGAUGAAGGUCUUCGGAUCGUAAAACUCUGUUAUUAGGGAAGAACAAAUGUGUAAGUAACUAUGCACGUCUUGACGGUACCUAAUCAGAAAGCCACGGCUAACUACGUGCCAGCAGCCGCGGUAAUACGUAGGUGGCAAGCGUUAUCCGGAAUUAUUGGGCGUAAAGCGCGCGUAGGCGGUUUUUUAAGUCUGAUGUGAAAGCCCACGGCUCAACCGUGGAGGGUCAUUGGAAACUGGAAAGCUUGAGUGCGGAAGAGGAAAGUGGAAUUCCAUGUGUAGCGGUGAAAUGCGCAGAGAUAUGGAGGAACACCAGUGGCGAAGGCGACUUUCUGGUCUGUAACUGACGCUGAUGUGCGAAAGCGAGGGGAUCAAACAGG